AACGAACGCUGGCGGCAUGCCUAACACAUGCAAGUCGAACGAGACCUUCGGGUCUAGUGGCGCACGGGUGCGUAACGCGUGGGAACCUGCACUUAGGUUCGGCAUAACUCCCCGAAAGGGGUGCUAAUACCGGAUAAUGUCUUCGGACCAAAGAUUUAUCGCCUUUGGAUGGGCCCGCGUUGAAUUAGCUAGUUGGUAGGGUAAAAGCCUACCAAGGCGACGAUCCAUAGCUGGUCUGAGAGGAUGAUCAGUCACACUGGGACUGAGACACGGCCCAGACUCCUACGGGAGGCAGCAGUGGGGAAUAGUGGACAAUGGGCGAAAGCCUGAUCCAGCAAUGCCGCGUGAGUGAUGAAGGCCGUAGGGUUGUAAAGCGCUUUUACCCGGGAUGAUAAUGACAGUACCGGGAGAAUAAGCUCCGGCUAACUCCGUG
rnacentral:rRNA from 1 species